rnacentral:lncRNA from 1 species
GACCUUCUAGCUUCCAGAACCGUGAGAGAGUACGCAUCUAUUGUUUUAAGUCACCAAGUGUGUAGUAACUUGUUAUCGUAUCCCCAGGGACCAGCUCAGGUGCCAUUCCACAGAUGUGGAAGCUGAGGUACAGAAUCGGCAGAGGCCUGGCAGAGUUCCCCUACAUCUAGGCAGCUAGUUGGGCUUUGAAACCAGGGCUGACUCCAGAGUCUGUGCUUUUUUUCUUUUCUUUCUUUCUUUCUUUCUUUUUCUUUCUUUCUUUCUUUCUUUGGUCUUAUUUAUUUAUUUAUUCAUUGCUUUUUUAGAACCAUACUCGAGCCACAUGGAAGUUCCCAGGCUAGGUCGAAUCUGAGUUAUAGCUGCCAACCUCUGCCACAGCCACAGCAACUCAGGAUCUGAGCUGCAUCUGUGACCUACACCACAGCUCAUGGCAACGCCGGUCCCCAACCCACUGAGCGAGGCCAGGGUGGAACCUGCAUCCUCAUGGAUGCUAUUCGGAUUCGUUUCCACUGGGCCACAACAGGAACUCCCUUUUUUAGGGCCACACCUGCAGCAUAGGGGUCAAAUCAGAGCUGCAGCUGCCAGCCUACCUCACAGCCACAGAAACACCAGAUCUGACCCGCAUCUGUGACCUGCACCACAGCUCACCACAACACCAGCUCCUUAACCCACUAAGCAAGGCCAGGUAUUGAACCUGAGUCCUCGUGGGUGCUAGCCAGGAUAUUACCACUGAGCCACGAUGGGAACCCCAGGAGUUGGUACUCUUAAUUCAGCUGGAUUCUGGGUAGCAUCAUCAUCUUCUUGGGGAAACCAAAAGCUGUUCUCAACUUUUACAUUUUGAUGGACUUCACCCUCCACUGAUCCCGAAAGGCAUUAUUCUGCGGUAUUAGAGUGGUUUUGUCAUGUGCUUAUUAGAAGUUUUGUCUUCUAUGACCCAGCAGAGGCUCUGUUCAAAUCACACAAUUUUUCACAAAUGUCACAUAGCCAGGCCCCCACCUGGCUGGGCCUGGCAGCCAGGGACUAGGUUCUUCCUCAGUGGCUCUUACAGAGGGUGCUUAAGCAGCUCACACCCCUCAGACCACAGCAGAAACAAGCUGCUCUGUGUACAGCAUCCUCUAGCUGCUCUUAGAGGGCCCUGCUGACUUGGAGAGACAACCAGGAAGUGAAUUGGUGCAGAAUCAGUGCAGUCUGAACUACUCCCCAGACUCCAUUUGACCCAACGCUUUACCUUCCUCUUCCAUCAAAAUGAUUUUUCUAAUUUGCAAAUAUUAGAAAGAUUUUCAGAUUUGAGCAUCAUCUUCAUUUACUCCAUGUUCCUUCUCUCUCUCUCUCUCUGCCUCCAUCCGGAAACACGUGCCUGAGAAAGUAGACUAGAGGUAACCCAAGAGCGGAUUUCCAGCCCUGGCAUAACCCGGGCUUUGUUUAAUCAGUCAUUCCCUCUGAGACACACAAAAGCAUACCGGGUAGCUCCCAUGUGCCUCCUUGGUGUUUUUACGCUUUGACCUGUAGCUUUGCCGAGAGCCUCCCCUACCAGGUUCCCCAGGGAACACAGAAAUGUGAUCCACGCGGGCACCGGGGCCUUGGUUUUCAGGUGCGGGCCAAAGAGAAGCCUAUUCAUCUCAAGCUCCGUGGGCUCCAGGCUGCAGUAGGCUGUUAUUCAGGUUGUUAAAAGCUUCCAUCCCUGGGGGAAAACUCUUCCGCCCUGGCGACCGUGACCCUGACUCAGGAGCGUAAGUGGAGCCCAGGCACACCUGUACCUCUGACAGCUGAGCCAGACACAGAAAAGCCUCUGCUGACAAGCUUAUUGGACAGCAGACACCUGCAGAGGGGCCCACACCCUUUUUCGUGAGGGCCCUGACAGCAGUCUUGAGCCAACAGGUCUGUGCACAUGGCGGAGGAGAGCUGGCUGGGCCAUUCACAAAGGAGGAGCUGGACUUUGCCAAACCCCAGCGUCACGCUUGGGAGGAAGCACAGCCCCAUUCAUCACUGGAAUUCGUUGUUCCUCCCUCACCGGUUUUGUUCCAAAGAAAAUCCCAUCACUGUCCUGGUGAGAGAAGGAUGAGGGCAAAGCCAGUUUCAAUGUGUUAGGCCUACUGUGUGCCUGCCCCAGAGUAGGAACUUUAUAUUUACCAUCCUGUUUAAUCUUCCCAAGAACCCAUGUGACACAAGUGCCGUUUUUUGUUCUCCUGAUUUUACAGACAAACUCAGCUCAGAGAGGUGAAAUCACUUUGUGCGAGACUGCACGUCUAAGGAGCAGCCAGGCAGAAUUUGAAAAGGAUUCCCCCAGGGUUUUGUGUCCACUGCCAGCUGUUCCUAAGCAAAUCAACUCAGGAAGCCCAAAGUCCAGGGGUGGGGGCCUGUUCAUUCUGUUUGGGGCCCUUGGUUAGUGGGACUCACGUAGCUACACGUUGGCUCUGCGGAGGGUCAGCCCGCAGGCGUGACCCUGCUUCCCAGCACUCUGGGCAGAUGUGCAGGAUGGCCUGGGACCCCCUGCGUCCAAGCGGACUUUGCUUUCAGACUCCUCACCAGCCUGAACUCGAGGCAAGUGUCCCCCUCUAUCCAUCGAGAGGCACCUCGUUUUAUUCUUUAAAACAGUGGUCCUGGGCUGCAGGCAGUUUUGUUUCCUAGGAGACAUCUGGCAGUGUCUGGAGACAUUUUUGGUCGUCGUAACUGGGAGGGAGUGUGCUACUGGCAUCUAGAAGGGAGAGGCCGGGGGCGCUGCCGAGCAUCUCACAAAGCACCGCAGGAGGAAUGAUCUGGCGCACAAUGUCAGCAGUGCCCAGGUUGAGAAACUGCUUUGAAAUCUGACCCCACCAUGCCCAGGGAGGCUUUCGCACAGUGGCUGGCACACAGCGAUGAGCGCCCAUUUCCAAGCAUUCCUGUGGGAUGCUGAGUCGGUGGUCCCUGGCGGGUGAUCCUGGGGGCCGAGGAACUGGAUCCUUCCCCCUCGCAGUGACUGUCCAGGUCCCUGGAGCCAGCCCACACCUGAACCUGGCUGCCUAGUGCUCCCCUAACACUGGCUGUCUCUAGUAUGGAUAACUCUGUAUGAAUCUGUUCCUUCAUUGAAGCGUUUUGGUUCUUGUUUCUUAAAUAGAGCAGCCAGCUAGCUAGGUGGUGGCAGUGAACUGGGCUCUGAAGAGAUGUUUAUUGAGUCUGAACUCUUGAGCCUUUAGUGGACAUCGGAGUUCCCACUGUGGAGCAAUGGGAUGGGCGGCCACUCUGCAGUGCCAGGACGCAGGUUCGAUCCCUGGGCUGGCACAGUGAGUUAAGGAUCCAGCAUUGUCACCCCUGUGGCAUAGGUCACAGGUCACCACUGUAGCUCAGAUGUGAUCACUGUCCUGGGAACUCCACAUGCCAUGGGGUGGCCAAAAAGGCUUUAGUGGAUAUGGGGGUGGCUUUGCAACCGCCCAGGGGAAAGAGCAUGGUCACUGGGCUCAGAACUGGCUUUUGACUGGCACCUCAACCCCUUCUUGGAGCCAUCGUUUCCUAUUGUGUGAAACAGGAGGCAUCAUUCUUACUGUCAAGGGCUGGUACGAGAAUUAAUUGGAAUAACGAAUGCAAAGUGCCUAACCCAGCAGGUGGCAUAAUAGACACUUAAAUGGUCCUGUGAUUACGAAAAGACGAGGACAGGCUGGCCGUGGGGGAUUGGCUGGGGGACAGCCUGUGUGUCACCAGAGUGGUCUGGAUCUGUUUGGAGGGCUUCGCUGGUCACCCCGCACCCAGGCCCUGGCCUGCGGAGUGGGUUCUGUACGUGGGCUGGGAUGUCCUGUCCGGGGACCCCUGGGUGUUCUCAGGAGGGAGUGGAGCCAGCCCCUGCUGAGGCACGUCCCGUGGCCUGGCCUGGGGGAGUGUGCGAGCAGAUGUCACCUGGAACCCUGUUCUCCUGCGACCGUCCAGGGAGGUGGCUAUCCAAGGUGGUAUGUGACUUCCAGUCACCAGGGUGACCCUGGGUGAGUGAUGUGUCCUGCUUAAACCUCACUUCCUUCCCUCUGUGAUGGGUCACGUUAGCUGCUUCCUGGGGGUUACGUGAGGAUUCGGUGAUGACGAUGACGGCGGUGAUGACACGGAGAAAUAACGACUAGGGAAGUAACUGGCCCUGGCCGGGACCUGAAAGGGUUAAUUUGAUUGUUCUGGUUCCAUUCUUUUCUCAAGGCGUAGCUGAGGUCCUCAUGCACGUGACCACUUGCCUCAAUGGUUGCCUCAACCUCCCCGUCACCCAGGGACAUGAACCCUCUGCCCACGUGGGCUUGUCACCUCCUUUUCCCUUUGUCCCUUCUCAUGGCCACUUCCACACCUUGGCCACCAGGGAGCUGCUUAGAGCAGCCUUCUCUCUCUUCCCAUGCAAAAUCCUCUUCCUCUCUUUUUCUUUUUCUUUUUGGCCUCGCCCACAGCAUGCGGAAUUUCCCGGGUCAGGGAUUGAACCUGCGCCACAGCAGCAACCUGAGCUGCUUGCUACAGUGACCAUGCCGGAGCCUUAACCCACUGCACUGCAAGGAAACUCCCACUCCUCUUCCUCUCUUGAGGCACAGCCCUGGGCCCCUCUCUCCUUGUCACCCACCUUCCCUAAGAGCUUGGGUCACUGUCCUCUGAGCACCAGAGAGUGGCCACUGUGCCACGUGGAACCACGGUGCCUCAUGAAGGGCCAGACAAAGAGUUUACGGACUUGGCCCCUCUGCUCAGAGCAUGUCUGGGGCAAGACCUUCAGCAGAGGCCGUCCGUGUUCCUCCUUCGCCUACCGCAUCCCUUCGUGCCAUUUGCCCGGAUUUCAGCUGGUACGUUUUCUUGCUGUAACAUACUUCCUAAUAGAGCUGUGUGCGCCGACGCAGCUCUUCCCCCGCUGAGCCGUGGGGACCACGCGUUGGUUGACUUUAUGUCUCCAGACUCUCACAAACGUCAGGAACAGGGGGGCAAACACGGAGGAAAGACCGAAUCAAUGUUUCCCACCCCCCGCCUGCCCCCUUUGGAACCAGGGGUCUGUGUGUUAGCAAAUGUCCCUUCCCUCUUUGCCACCAGAGGCCUGGUCUCGGGAGGGUCUGAGAAGAGGUCCCCAGGGGUGGACAGUGGCGGGGAGGGGCUCUCAGGCUGCCUGUCGGCAUCCCUGAACGCACCCUCGACUCUCUGGCCUCAGCAGGAUCCAGAUCACAGGGACACAGCACUGCUUUCAUCAGGGCAGAGAAGGAAGCCUCAUUGUCCUGCUCUCCUCCUGAACGUCCCCCGGGCAGAGAGGAGCCCUGGCUUCUCUCUGUGCAUUUUUUCCACCAGCCAGUCUACAGGCUAUGGUCCAAAUUAAAUGUCC